ensembl:lncRNA
UUUGUUCUUUGCCCACCAUGCCCUUUAUCGCGUAUCCUUCUUACAGGUUCUCUACCCUGAGGAAUUUACAGAGAGCAGUCAUAGUCUCCAGCUUAUUAUGUGAAAAAAUGCCAAAACCUUACAUUCUUCUACAUUGGAAGCUUUUCAGUUCAGCUGUUCUCUGCUCACUUCAGUUUGAAUUAAUUCUUUAAAACAGAGAGACAAUGAAGUCACCAUAUGCCAAGAUCCAUGAAGGUGUUCAGACCAUUCAUCUCUGUGCAGAAGACCUAGAAGUGGAAAAGGUAUACAACAACAUAAAGAGAAACAAAGAGGACUGAGUAGUCACAGGCAGAGAAAACCUUCAUCAAUAAAUGAAGUAUUCAUGAUGGAGGAAGACACCCACAUCUGACAUUCUGAUAAUAGGCUUAUAAAGGCAAGAAAGAGUUACAGUCCUCUUAUCUCCCACUUUGGCAGGUCCACAUCUGUUCAGUUCAAGAAAUACUUGUUAUGAUAAACACGUGGAUGACUAUAUCACCUGCGUUGUGGGAAAGUUUACACUGUGAUUAAAAUAAUGUAUUUGGGCCUUAAAAUCUGUCAUUACUUAGUCUACAUUUUAAUGUGAUAGAGACUAACCAACACUCUGAACUGUCUGGAUAAAUAUGGAUGUUUUCCAUCCACUUCAUAACUAAAUAGCUGAAGUCUAUCUCCAGACUUCUCUCCUAGGACAAGUUAGACAGUCUAAAUUUUGUUCAUAUGGAAUAAAACCUACAGAGGACAGCAAUGUGACAAGCGAUCAUCCAUACAUUUUGACAGCAGAAAAGCUUUGGUGAUUAUUUCUUCAGCUGGGCCUAAGCAGGAAUCUGAUCCGAAGAUUCAUGCAGUAGGAUUCUUUUCCUUGAGUUCAAUUGUCUCCAGAUCACAGGAAUUCUCCUGAACUACACUUGACUUCUUGGCCAAGACAUUGGACAGAGUAUCACAGAAUCAUUUGUGUUGUAUUUCAUUGUAAAAAAAAAAAAAAACACAAAAAACCUGAGAUCAUCAGUUCCAGCCAUCAAACUAACUCUACCAAGUCCACCAAUAAACCAAGUCCCUAUGUAUCAUAUCCAUACGUCACUUUAAUAUCUCCAGCGACGGGGAUUCUACCACUUUCUCUGACAGUCUGUUCUAAAGCCUAACUACCCAUUCCAUGAAGCAAUUCUUUCUGAUAUCCAAUCUAAACAUCCCUUGGCAUGGCUUGAGAAUGUUUCCUCAUAUGUACAGACAGCAGUCCAGUAUCCACAGUCCACACAUUCUGAUAAAACUUUAAAGCUUCUAGAACCUAAGCAGGAGCAUAAGUAGAUUGAAAAUCCUGAAGUACAGAGAGAGCAGUGAUAGCUAUGCUUCUGUAGUAUUCCCACACUGUUAACAGUAUUUUGAGGAGAGGGGCCACUGGUGACAUAAGUCAGAUCACAGUCAAGGAGUAUAUUGCACUGAACAAGGCUGUUCAAAGAUCAAAUUACUGAAUACAAUGGUCCUUCUCUGUUUGGUUAGCAUUUAGCCAACAGACCAGCAGCCACAGGGCAAAGUUAACAUGGGGGCACAUUAAUGAACAAUGUCUAAUUCAACAUACCCCUUCUGACAUGUUCUGAGAGGCCCAGAGGAAGCACACUGAGGACAGACCGAGACAAGAUCUCAUUUUGGAGGAAGAUUCUGUCAUAUAGCCUGCCAUAUUUAGCAUUGAUGAAGAAUGCAAAAUGACUGCUCCUUAUUAGUUUGUGGCCUUGUUAGCUUUGGAGCCAAGAGGCAGGGGUUAUAUUAGUAGACAGCAGAUAAUGACAGUGGUAAGAAAAAGAUGUCUAUUUUCUGGAUAAUAUAAAGAGUCAAGCACAACUUCCAAUGCAAACUGCUAAUGCACAGAUGGUGGGAUGGCAAUAUUUUCUCAGUGUUAGAGCCUUUCAACAGAGUUUUUUUGUCUUUAUGAAAGAAAUCCAAAGGUAAAACGCAACAAUACCCCAAAGAAUGGUUGGAUGAGGGGAACGAAUACUACUGUAUUUGGGGGAAUCUUUUAGGAUGUGCAAUACACAAUGCAAAACUCCACCACACUUUUGUGCCACAAAGGGCCUGAAGGCACGUGCCAGGCACUGCUGAUCCUAUCUGGAAUUCUGCAGAAAUCUGUGUCACAAAUCUUAUGCAACAAACAGUCAAUAAGUUGGAGCACACAUGACAGGAAAGAACAAAAGAAAGGCAACCUACAGUGUAAAUAAUUGAUGGUUGAUCGGUGAAUCCAACACAAAAUGCAGUGCAUUAACGUCUUUGUACAUGACAUGUAAGACAUUUUAUCCUAUUACAAUAGCAAUCCCAGAGAGUUUCAAUUCAUCCAUUUACCAUCAUGCAG